rnacentral:lncRNA from 1 species
AUAAUGGGGAAGGACACAGCUAAUGUAAUAAUGGGGAAGGACACAGCUAAUGUAAUAAUGGGAAGGACACAGCUAAUGUAAUAAUGGGGAAGGACACAGCUAAUGUAAUAAUGGGGAAGGACACAGCUAAUUUAAUAAUGGGGAAGGACACAGCUAAUGUAAUAAUGGGGAAGGACACAGCUAAUGUAAUAAUGGGGAAGGACACAGCUAAUGUAAUAAUGGAGAAGGACACAGCUAAUGUAAUAAUGGGAAGGACACAGAUAAUGUAAUAAUGGGGAAGGACACAGAUAAUGUAAUAAUGGGGAAGGACAAAGCUAAUGUAAUAAUGGGGAAGGACACAGCUAAUGUAAUAAUGGAGAAGGACACAGCUAAUGUAAUAAUGGGGAAGGACACAGCUAAUGUAAUAAUGGAGCAAGACACAGCUAAUGUAAUAAUGGGGAAGGACACAGCUAAUGUAAUAAUGGGGAAGGACACAGCUAAUGUAAUAAUGGGGAAGGACACAGAUAAUGUAAUAAUGAGGAAGGACACAGCUAAUGUAAUAAUGGGAAGGACACAGCUAAUGUAAUAAUGGAGAAGGACACAGCUAAUGUAAUAAUGGGGAAGGACACAUCUAAUGUAAUAAUGGGGAAGGACACAGCUAAUGUAAUAAUGGGGAAGGACACAGCUAAUGUAAUAAUGGGGAAGGACACAGCUAAUGUAAUAAUGGGGAAGGACACAGCUAAUGUAAUAAUGGGAAGGACACAGCUAAUGUAAUAAUGGAGAAGGACACAGCUAAUGUAAUAAUGAGGAAGGACACAGCUAAUGUAAUAAUGGGGAAGGACACAGCUAAUGUAAUAAUGGAGAAGGACACAGCUAAUGUAAUAAUGGGAAGGACACAGCUAAUGUAAUAAUGGGGAAGGACACAGCUAAUGUAAUAAUGGGGAAGGACACAGCUAAUGUAAUAAUGGGGAAGGACACAGCUAAUGUAAUAAUGGGGAAGGACACAGCUAAUGUAAUAAUGGGGAAGGACACAGCUAAUGUAAUAAUGGGAAGGACACGGAUAAUGUAAUAAUGGGGAAGGACACAGCUAAUGUAAUAAUGGGGAAGGACACAUCUAAUGUAAUAAUGGGGAAGGACACAGCUAAUGUAAUAAUGGGAAGGACACGGCUAAUGUAAUAAUGGGGAAGGACACAGCUAAUGUAAUAAUGGGGAAGGACACAGCUAAUGUAAUAAUGGGGAAGGACACGGGUAAUGUAAUAAUGGGGAAGGACACGGGUAAUGUAAUAAUGGGGAAGGACAUGGGUAAUGUAAUAAUGGGGAAGGACACGGGUAAUGUAAUAAUGGGGAAGGACACGGGUAAUGUAAUUAGGGGCCAUAAAGCGGUGUCUAGAUGUUUACAAGCUCUCGACUUGUCCACCGUCAGGUUGAGGGGACUGAGGACGAAGCCCGGCAGGCCGCAGCGCCAGACAGGACCAAAGCAGCAGAAUCGGAGACAGGAGAAACAUCAACAACAUCCACAUCAACCCCAGCCCCACCAGAUACCCACUGUGGAGGAAGAGGAGGAGGAGGAAGAGGAGAGGAGGCAGUAACCAUCAACCUCAAGCCCUCGAACGCCUACGAGUUCAACCAGUCCCUGAACGCAGCGCGGACCCAGUCCGACCUCCCAGCCUGCGCUGAGCUGCUGAGCUGUGUUCCCCCUGAGACUCUGCCCGUCUACCUCAGUAAUCAGCUGGAUGGACACACGGUCAGCUUUGUUAUGCAGGCCCUGGAAACACAGCUCUUACGGAAGGAGCCUAACUUAGUCUACCAGCACCUCAACCACCUACAUACUGCUGACAGGUUCUCGGUCGUCGUGAUGCUCCUGGAGAAGAGUGAACGUGAUCAGAUGACUCGACUGUUUGACCGUCUGUCCGCCGUGGACAGUGAUGCCUUCAGUAAGAACGACGUGCAGAACCUGGCCAACAAGUACAUCUGACCUCGUCUGGCCCUGCUGGAGCACGUCCCAAAUAGGCCCCUAUUUACCUAGUGCACUAUGGAGGGAAUAAGGCGCCAUAAUGGGACGGUCGUAAGACGCCUAUCAACAUCGCAAGCCGACUUUAAAAACGAAUCCAGACUGGAAAAAUCACCUUUCCGUCAUAAAUAAAGACUAAAUAUUAUUUUGGUAGGUCAAGUCUUAAUUUACCCAUGAUUACAUCGCGUUGUUUUGAUGAUGUUCUCGAACUCGACCCCUUCGUUCUGGCGUGCACCUUCCUGUCGUACGCCGAAGCGUCCCGACGUAACAGACAGGAUCUAUGCAACGUUGGACAACACGACUCAGAAGCUGCUGAACGUACUGGGGAGCGUUAUGGACCCAAAACCCACCUCUUUCUUUCUCUCAAGUUCUCUCGGUAUAAUAUCACGUCUCUACCUACUGUUACUAGGUAUCUCUCUCUCCAAAUACCUUUUAUAAUAUCACAUCUCUACCUACUGUUACUAGGUCUCUCUCUCUCUCUCUCUCUCUCUACCAGACCAUUCUCUCUCUCUCUCUCUCUCUCUCUCUCUCUCUCUCUCUCUCUCUCUCUCUCUCUCUCUCUCUCUCUCUCUCUCUCUCUCUCUCUCUCUCUCUCUCUCUCUCUCUCUCUCUCUCUCUCUCUCUCUCUCUCUCUCUCUCUCUCUCUAAAUACCUUUUAUAAUAUCACAUCUCUACCUACUGUUACUAGGUAUCUCUCUCUCCCUCUCUCUCUCUCUCUCUCUCUCUCUCUCUCUCUCUCUCUCCAAAUACCUUUUAUAAUAUCACAUCUCUACCUACUGUUACUAGGUAUCUCUCUCUCCCUCUCUCUCUCUCCCCCUCUCUCUCUCACACACACACACACACACACACACACACACACACACACACACACACACACACACACACACACACACACACACACACACACACACACACACACACACACACACACACACACAACCUGGAAGUGUUUUAGCUUUAGUUGACUGGCAAGUAAAUGUUGAAAUGCUGUGAACUAUUUAGCUUUUAAAACAUUGAUUCAUAGGUCCAAUGUACAAGAUAUCUUUCAAGCAUUCCCCUUCUGGGUCCGUGUGCUGCGUCCAGGUCCAUUCUCCAGGCUGGCAGAACCAUUAAAAUAAAAAAAAAGACAGAUAACACCCAUAACAAUGUAUGACUACUUUUCCAGGCGGUUUGACUGGCCAAUAGAGGUUGAUUUGUACCCGGGUUAGAAAUUUAAAAAAAAAAAUGGGGAAGGGGGACAAUGAAUUCCAAGCUAGGAGACAUAACGACUUGAAUUGACUGGGCUAGCGUUAGCCCCAGAUGCUAUUCAGAAAAACAACACUUUGUAUUACAGCUUUUACCAUCCUGAUAUUAAAGUAGAUUAACGCAUGCUGCAUAUCAGAAUAUUAACCAAGUGUAUAACAAUCCAAAAAAAAAACUAUUUCCUCUGGGGGUUCAAGGAGUCUUUACCAUCCAUUCUCUGUCUAGAAAUACAAUGCUAGUUUUGGAAGUUGCCUCAGUUCUGUGUAUGAAAACAAUGAUGAAUGAAGCAACUUACAAUGUGCACAAUACUAAAUGGGUAUUAUACAGUACUGCAAUUCAAGGUAAAUGCAAAGUAAUUGUGUAAAAACAUUUGUCUUUUGAAGAAAUGACCAGAAGUUAUGAAAAUGCCCCAGCCAGUCAGCCAGCCAGCCAGCAGAGCACCCUUCCAUCUGCAGUAAUCAGAAGUAUAAUGCUCUGUAACAUGCAGCCAGCCAGCCAGUCAGCCAGCCAGCCAGCCAGUGGAGCACCCUUCCAUCUGCAGUAAUCAGCAGUCUAAUGCUCUGUAACAUGCAGCCAGCCAGCCAGCCAGCCAGCCAGCCAGCCAGCCAGUCAGCAGAGCACCCUUCCAUCUGCUCACAGUGGAGAGAAGACAAGCAGCAUCUUUGUCAGAUGUGCCUUUGGAGUUCAGCUUUUGGAUCUACACUGUUCUGUUGUGUACCCAUUUCAGAUGUUCUGUUGUGUACCCAUUUCAGAUGUUCUGUUGGGUACCCAUUUCAGAUGUUCUGUUGUGUACCCAUUUCAGAUGUUCUGUUGGGUACCCAUUUCAGAUGUUCUGUUCUGUUGGGUACCCAUUUCAGAUGUUCUGUUCUGUUGGGUACCCAUUUCAGAUGUUCUGUUGGGUACCCAUUUCAGAUGUUCUGUUCUGUUGGGUACCCAUUUCAGAUGUUCUGUCGUGUACCCAUUUCAGAUGUUCUGUUCUGUUGGGUACCCAUUUCAGAUGUUCUGUCGGGUACCCAUUUCAGAUGUUCUGUUGGGUACCCAUUUCAGAUGUUCUGUUGGGUACCCAUUUCAGAUGUUCUGUUGUGUACCCAUUUCAGAUGUUCUGUUGGGUACCCAUUUCAGAUGUUCUGUUGUGUACCCAUUUCAGAUGUUCUGUUGGGUACCCAUUUCAGAUGUUCUGUUGUUCUGUUGGGUACCCAUUUCAGAUGUUCUGUCGUGUACCCAUUUCAGAUGUUCUGUUGUUCUGUUGUGUACCCAUUUCAGAUGUUCUGUUGUGUACCCAUUUCAGAUGCCCAUUUCAGAUGUUCUGUUGGGUACCCAUUUCAGAUGUUCUGUUGGGUACCCAUUUCAGAUGUUCUGUUGGGUACCCAUUUCAGAUGUUCUGUUGUGUACCCAUUUCAGAUGUUCUGUUGGGUACCCAUUUCAGAUGUUCUGUUGGGUACCCAUUUCAGAUGUUCUGUUGUUCUGUUGGGUACCCAUUUCAGAUGUUCUGUCGUGUACCCAUUUCAGAUGUUCUGUUGUUCUGUUGUGUACCCAUUUCAGAUGUUCUGUUGUGUACCCAUUUCAGAUGUUCUGUUGGGUACCCAUUUCAGAUGUUCUGUUGUUCUGUUGGGUACCCAUUUCAGAUGUUCUGUCGUGUACCCAUUUCAGAUGUUCUGUUGUUCUGUUGUGUACCCAUUUCAGAUGUUCUGUUGUUCUGUUGUGUACCCAUUUCAGAUGUUCUGUUGUGUACCCAUUUCAGAUGCCCAUUUCAGAUGUUCUGUUGGGUACCCAUUUCAGAUGUUCUGUUGGGUACCCAUUUCAGAUGUUCUGUUGUGUACCCAUUUCAGAUGCCCAUUUCAGAUGUUCUGUUGUUGCAGAUUUAAAAACAUUUAAAAUGACUUGUCAAAAUGUUAGUGUGUUCUUCUUUCUAAAAUGAAUGAAUGUACCGUGUUGAAUUCAGGGAGACGAGCGGAGCGGCAGCUGUUUGUAGCCUGGAGCAAUAGCUGCAUGGUCAGCGGGCUAGCGGCUCAGGGAGGGGGUCAGCAGGCUAGCGGCUCAGGGAGGGGGUCAGCGGCUCAGGG